rnacentral:misc_RNA from 1 species
GAUGAAGAACGUAGCGAAAUGCGAUACGUAAUGUGAAUUGCAGAAUUCAGUGAAUCAUCGAAUCUUUGAACGCCUAUUGCGCUCUCUGGUAUUCCGGAGAGCAUGCUUGUUUGAGUAUCAGUAAACACCUCAACUUCCAUAUCUUGUUUGAAAUGGGAGUUGGACUUGAGUGAUCCCAACGCUUUUCCUCACCGAAAAGUGGCGGGUUACUUGAAAUGCAGGUGCAGCUGGACUUUUCUCUGAGCUAUAAGCAUAUCUAUUUAGUCUGCCUAAAAAACAGAUUAUUACCUUUGCUGCAGCUAACAUAAAGGAGAUUAGUUCUUGCGCUGACUGAUGCAGGAUUCACAAAGACAGGCUUCGGCCGACUUUGUAAACUCGAUCUCAAAUCAAGUAAGACUACCCGCUGAACUUAAGCAUAUCAAUAAGCGGAGGA